UACGGAGGGGGCUAGCGUUGUUCGGAAUUACUGGGCGUAAAGCGCGCGUAGGCGGACCUGCAAGUCGGGGGUGAAAGCCCGAGGCUCAACCUCGGAACUGCCUUCGAUACUGCGGGUCUCGAGUCCGGGAGAGGUGAGUGGAAUUCCUAGUGUAGAGGUGAAAUUCGUAGAUAUUAGGAAGAACACCAGUGGCGAAGGCGAGUCUCUGGACGACUCCUGACACUGAGGCACGAAAGCUGGGGGAGCAAACAGG
rnacentral:rRNA from 1 species